rnacentral:rRNA from 1 species
UCAGCCCUAAACACAAAUAAUUUUAAAAACAAAAUUAUUCGCCAGAGUACUACCGGCAACAGCCUAAAACUCAAAGGACUUGGCGGUGCUUUAUACCCUUCUAGAGGAGCCUGUUCUAUAAUCGAUAAACCCCGAUAGACCUCACCAAUUCUUGCUAAUACAGUCUAUAUACCGCCAUCUUCAGCAAACCCUAAAAAGGAACAAAAGUAAGCGCAAUCAUAACACAUAAAAACGUUAGGUCAAGGUGUAACCUAUGAAAUGGGAAGAAAUGGGCUACAUUUUCUACUUCAAGAAAACCCACAUACGAAAGUUAUUAUGAAACUAAUAACCAAAGGAGGAUUUAGUAGUAAACUAAGAAUAGAGUGCUUA